CGAAACCAAAGACUGGCGACCGGCGCACGGGUGAGUAACACGUAUCAACCUGCCUCAUACUCGGGGAUAGCCUUUCGAAGAAAGAUUAAUAUCCGAUAGCAUAUAUUUCCCGCAUGGGUUUUAUAUUAAAGAAAUUCGGGUAUAGAUGGGGAUGCGUUCCAUUAGUUUGUUGGGGGGGUAACGGCCCACCAAGACUACGAUGGAUAGGGGUUCUGAGAGGAAGGUCCCCCACAUUGGAACUGAGACACGGUCCAA
rnacentral:rRNA from 1 species